AGUGAAUAGAUACCCCGGUAGUCCACGCUGUAAACGAUGAGUGCUGGACGUUGGCGGGUUUACCUGCCGGUGUCGCAGCUAAACGCGUUAAGCACUCCGCCUGGGGAGUACGGCCGCAAGGUUAAAACUCAAAGGAAUUGACGGGGGCCCGCACAAGCGGUGGAGCAUGUGGUUUAAUUCGACGCAACGCGCAGAACCUUACCAGCCCUUGACAUGGGCGGACGGGGUCCAGAGAUGGACUCUUUCUCGCAAGAGACCGCUACACAGGUGCUGCAUGGCUGUCGUCAGCUCGUGUCGUGACGAU
rnacentral:rRNA from 1 species